UACAGAGGGUGCGAGCGUUGUCCGGAAUCACUGGGCGUAAAGGGCGCGUAGGCGGCCUGAUAAGUAGGGGGGUGAAAUCCUGCGGCUUAACCGCAGGGCUGCCUUCUAAACUGUCAGGCUUGAGCACAGUAGAGGCAGGUGGAAUUCCCGGUGUAGCGGUGAAAUGCGCAGAUAUCGGGAGGAACACCAAUGGCGAAGGCAGCUUGCUGGGACGGUACUGACGCUGAGGCGCGAAGGCGUGGGGAGCGAACGGG
rnacentral:rRNA from 1 species